CGAAGGGGGGCGUGGAGGGAGCCGGGAUCAGCCAGGGGCCAGCAUGAGCCUGAGGGAGGGCAGUCUGGAAGACCCCCAGGCUGACUCCUCAGUCUCAUUCCUUCCCCACUUGGAGGCCAAGAUCCGUCAGACCCACAGCCUUGCCCGCCUCCUCUCCAAAUAUGCUGAGCAGCUGCUCCAGGAAUAUAUGUGAAAAAUCAAGGCUUUGGAGAGGGGCUCCUGGCCACAGCAAGUUGGAGGAGGACCCUAUCUGUGCCCCAUAAAUAAUCUACCUGCCUCAUCUUGGAAGCUCCCUCCUUGCUCCUCUACUUCCUCGUUGGCUGACCUAGGGCAAGUCACUGUCUUCAGCCCCGUUUUCUCACCUAGGAAGCCUUCAGCAUCACAAUCAUCCCACUCAUCACUGGUGAAAUGCUGUGUUUAAAGGAACAAACAUAAUGCCUGAUCCAGCGCCAGGAUGUUUACAAAGGAAAAUGUUAUUAGUUCAUUUGACAAAUUGCAAAUUACUCUUUUCUUUCAUUUGUUUAUUCAAAUGACAAUUAAUGACGCAUUGUCUCGAGGCUCAAUACAUGUACAAAGGCCAGGAAGGUAGCCCGGAGCACAGUGAC